rnacentral:tRNA from 1 species
GGAUAGCUCAGUUGGUUAGCGUGUGGUACUGAUAACACCAAGGUUGCAGGUUCAAUCCCUGUAAGGAACA